AUGUUGCUUAUAUCCUGUUUAAGAGUGAUGAUUUACGUGCUGCAACCUCGUUGGAUGUUGAAGCAGUUUAUUACUCUCAAUGAAAUGUGUUGUUUACCAGUUUAUCCACAUUCAUUCAUAGAUGUGGUUGUGGCAUUGGCUUUGGCACCUUUCAUCCUUGGAGUUGCACUCUCAGGACCACCGGAUGAGCUGUGGCCAAUGCAGUGCUGCAAAACCCCUUCCUUCAAGCUUUCUGUCCCAGGCCGGAGGACGAGCCAAAAGCAGCAUCUGAAUUCCUGCCCUGCACCUCUCCUGCCACGUAACAAAUGGACCCACCGGAGACAAAAGACAGCGUCAAGAGUAAUUGAAUGGACGUGGCAGGCAGACCCAGCAGUGCUCUUAUCAGCUGGGGGAGGCAGAGCAGAUCCGAGGAGCAGAACAGGCCAGAGAAUGGACCCAAUAUGUUUUUUUUGUCCUCUGAGGGCUUCCAAAGAAGAUAAAAUAUGUAUUCUGCUUGGUGAUUAUGGAGACAAGCUCACCAUGGUCACUCUUCCCCAGUCAGUAACCUCUCUGACACAGAAUCAUAGAAUAAUUUGGGUUGAAAAAGGCUUCAUCUAUCUCAGCCAGUACAUCUUUGUGUCUCUGUUACAAGAUGGCUUUCAUUCUCCAUGGUGAUCCAUAGAAGUCACUGGUUCUGGCACAGCUGUUUUGGAUACCCUUUUGUGGUCUCAUGCCCCCAUCUUCCUCCUCCUAUGGGUUAAUGUUGAAUUGCAGCCUGUGCUAUACCCAUGUCCCACCAACCUAGAUGAUUUUUUCAAGACACAAAAACUAUGCUACGGGGCUGAGAGGCAAAAAGAGGCUGUGAAACCACUUCUCCAAAUAAAAUCCAUCCAUGUUUAAAAGAACCUGGCCUU
rnacentral:lncRNA from 1 species